GCCGACAUGGUGGAAUUUCGGAAGACACGCAAUACUUAGGAUAUUGUGCCUUCGGGCGUGCGGGUUCGACUCCUGCUGUCGGUA
rnacentral:tRNA from 1 species